rnacentral:rRNA from 1 species
UGGGGAAUAUUGGACAAUGGGGGCAACCCUGAUCCAGCCAUGCCGCGUGUGUGAAGAAGGCCUUUUGGUUGUAAAGCACUUUAAGCAGUGAAGAAGACUCCAUGGUUAAUACCCAUGGACGAUGACAUUAGCUGCAGAAUAAGCACCGGCUAACUCUGUGCCAGCAGCCGCGGUAAUACAGAGGGUGCAAGCGUUAAUCGGAAUUACUGGCGUAAAGCGAGCGUAGGUGGCUUGAUAAGUCAGAUGUGAAAGCCCCGGGCUUAACCUGGGAACGGCAUCUGAUACUGUUAGGCUAGAGUAGGUGAGAGGAAGGUAGAAUUCCAGGUGUAGCGGUGAAAUGCGUAGAGAUCUGGAGGAAUACCGAUGGCGAAGGCAGCCUUCUGGCAUCAUACUGACACUGAGGUUCGAAAGCGUGGGUAGCAAACA